AAGUCGAACGAUGAAACUUAGAAGAUUUCUUCGGAAUGAACUUAAGUGAAUUAGUGGCGAACGGGUGAGUAACGCGUGAGUAACCUGCCUUACACAAGGGGAUAGCCUCUGGAAACGGAGAAUAAUACCCUAUGAAACUAUCUUAUCGCAUGAAAAGAUAGUCAAAGUGUUUUAGCGGUGUAAGAUGGACUUGCGUCCUGAUUAGCUAGUUGGUGAGAUAACAGCCCACCAAGGCAACGACCAGUAGCCGGCUUGAGAGAGUGUACGGCCACAUUGGGACUGAGACACGGCCCAGACUCCUACGGGAGGCAGCAGUGGGGAAUUUUGCACAAUGGGGGCAACCCUGAUGCAGCGACGCCGCGUGAUUUAGAAGGCCUUCGGGUUGUAAAAAUCUUUUGUAUAGGAAGAAAAUGACAGUACUAUACGAAUAAGGUCCGGCUAAUUACGUGCCAGCAGCCGCGGUAAUACGUAAGGACCGAGCGUUGUCCGGAAUCAUUGGGCGUAAAGGGUACGUAGGCGGUUAGAAAAGUUAGAAGUGAAAGGCUAUAGCUCAACUAUAGUAAGCUUUUAAAACUGUUUAACUUGAGAGAUGGAAGGGAAAGUGGAAUUCCUAGUGUAGCGGUGAAAUGCGCAGAUAUUAGGAGGAAUACCGGUGGCGAAGGCGACUUUCUGGCCAUUAU
rnacentral:rRNA from 2 species